GAUGAACGCUGGCGGCGUGCCUAAUACAUGCAAGUCGAGCGAACAGACGAGGAGCUUGCUCCUCUGACGUUAGCGGCGGACGGGUGAGUAACACGUGGAUAACCUACCUAUAAGACUGGGAUAACUUUGGGAAACCGGAGCUAAUACCGGAUAAUAUAUUGAACCGCAUGGUUCAAUAGUGAAAGACGGUUUUGCUGUCACUUAUAGAUGGAUCCGCGCCGCAUUAGCUAGUUGGUAAGGUAACGGCUUACCAAGGCAACGAUGCGUAGCCGACCUGAGAGGGUGAUCGGCCACACUGGAACUGAGACACGGUCCAGACUCCUACGGGAGGCAGCAGUAGGGAAUCUUCCGCAAUGGGCGAAAGCCUGACGGAGCAACGCCGCGUGAGUGAUGAAGGUCUUCGGAUCGUAAAACUCUGUUAUUAGGGAAGAACAAAUGUGUAAGUAACUAUGCACGUCUUGACGGUACCUAAUCAGAAAGCCACGGCUAACUACGUG
rnacentral:rRNA from 1 species